UUGUUUUUGUUAAGAUAACAAGACGUUCUUUACACUGAUGUUUGUAUAGUUUGUAAGACCCGGAGGUCAAACGGUUCACAGAGGUGAGGGAUGUUAAGAUAAGACCCAGAGGGUCAAUCAUUAAUGAUCCUUCCGCAGGUUCACCUACGGAAA
rnacentral:misc_RNA from 1 species